GCCUUUGUGGUAUAGUGGUCAGCACGCUCGAUGCGUAACCAGGAGGUCCGUGGUUCGAUUUCUGGCAAAGGCG
rnacentral:tRNA from 1 species